AUACGGAGGAUGCGAGCGUUAUCCGGAUUUAUUGGGUUUAAAGGGAGCGUAGGUGGGAUAUUAAGUCAGCUGUGUAAGUUUGGGGCUCAACCUUAAAAUUGCAGUUGAUACUGGUUUCCUUGAGUACGGUACAGGUGGACGGAAUUCGUGGUGUAGCGGUGAAAUGCUUAGAUAUCACGAAGAACUCCGAUCGCGAAGGCAGCUCACCGGGCCGGAACUGACACUGAUGCUCGAAAGUGCGGGUAUCAAACAGGAUUAGAUACCCUGGUAGUCCGCACAGUAAACGAUGAAUACUCGCUGUUUGCGAUACACGGUAAGCGGCCAAGCGAAAGCGUUAAGUAUUCCACCUGGGGAGUACGCCGGCAACGGUGAAACUCAAAUGAAUUGGCGGGG
rnacentral:rRNA from 1 species